CGGCACAGAGCAAUAUCUAGCCCGAUCGAUACUUCGAUCCACAACUAGGCAGGUUAAAGAGCUCGAUCGAACGGCUUGGGAAGUGCGUUGUUAACGACCAACUUAGAAACGGGGCCACUGAACGGCAUCGAAUGAAUACAUCUCCCCGUGGCAUAUCCUCCGACGCCGUUCCAUUCGAGCUCAGCUCUUAACUGCAACCAAGCUCUACAGUAAUCACGUCACACGUGUCCUGGAACUGGCACAAAAUAAGUGAACUCUUCCAGCGCCUUAAGCAGCAGCUCGUGUUACCCAGAAUUCCUGCGAUUACGGUGAGCGUUGCCACACUGCAAGCGACGUGUCACCCCGAGCGACAAGACGGCCACAAGGUCAGAAUUAUCCAGAAAAGAAAACAGCGUGGUCAAGCAGCCCCAGUGGGACACAUUGUGGCGUGGUGCCUUCGACAAGAGUCCACACCAUUGAUGCGUGGUGGCACAUCUCGAGAAUCAGCCAGGGUGCAUGGAAUUUACGACGACGGGGAAUCGUGCAGUGGGAAGAAUGUAAAAGAGAGUGAGAGACUGUGACAGGCACUCACUCAGUCACCAAUCUCUCAACAACCAUUUGCACUCUUUGUGUGCACGGACUACAUUUCUUCGCAUUGUCAGAACCAUGUCUGGACUUUGCCCAGGCUCCUCAGGGCAGAUUUGGCGUUGCUUGAGAACGAAUGGUGUGAUUUUACUGCGAAAUUAUCGUACUCAACUUAAGCUUUGUUUAAGCCAGACCUUCCUGUUUCGGUGGCUCCGAAGGUGGAAGAAUGCGGUCAAGGGUGAAUUUUUAUUUUUAUUUCUUUCUAUGGAGUUCAUGCUAUAAUAGGAGAUGACCCAACGCUAAUUCAUGGGUUGUUGCUAAUCAAAUUCUUUUUAUUCGUUCAUUUUAUUCUAAUGAUUCUUCACCUCACCUUCAUAUGA